UGGAAAACUGUGAGGAUAUGGUGAAUUAGA
rnacentral:piRNA from 1 species